rnacentral:lncRNA from 1 species
UUUUUCUUUUUUCUUCUGUUAUGCUUAUCUUCAUGAAUUUCCAAAUAUUGAUCAAGCCUUACAUCACUGGAAUAAACUCCCAGUUGUUUGUAGUGCGUACUUUGUAUGUAGUACCUAUUGCUGGAUUUGCUGUGAUUGCUAUGGUGUGCUAAUAUUUUGUUGAGGAUUUUUUUAAAAGGAUUUUUCCAAUCUAUGUUCAUGAGGAAUACUGGCCUGUAGUUUUCUUUUAUUCUACUGUCUUUGCUUCAUUUUGCUAACAUGGUGAUGGUGGCCUCAUAAAAUGGGUUUCGAAGGAUUGCCUCUUCUCAAUAUUUGGGAGAGGUAGUGUAGAAACAUUAAUUAUUAUUUAAACGUCUGGUAGAAUUUCCAGUGAAACGAUUGGGGCCUUGAAAUGGACUGAAUGAGUCUGUUCAAAAUUCAUGUGUUGACGUCCUAACCCUCAAUGUGUUGACAGGAAGUGGAACCUUUUGGAGGUUAUUAAGUGUUGAUGAUGGACCCUUCCUGAUUGAGAUUAGUCACCUUAUAAAAGGGAUCCCAGAGAACUCUCUUAAACUUUUCUGCCAAGUGAGGAUAGAUACAAGAAAGUGGCAGUCUUUAUUCUGGGAGAUGGUUCUCACCAAAAACUGACCAUGCUGGCCCACUGAUGUUAGACUGACCAUGCUGGCCCACUGAUGUUAGACUUCAGCCUCAAAGAUUGUAAGAAAUGCGUUUAUAAACUACCCAGUCUAUUGUACUGCAUUAUAGCAGCCCAAAAUGAGCAAGACAGAAAUUGGUACUGGAAGUAGGUGCUAAUUGAAGAAUAGGUAAGGGCUGUAAGAGUUUUUAGAGGCAUUCAAAAAAUAGGGACAUUAAUGGUGAUUCUGGUGAUGCUCAGAAAAGAGCUGAAAACAAAACUUCAAUCUUUAGAGAAUACAUUAUCGACAGAAUGUUGGUAGAAAUAUGGAUGGUAAAGGCAGUACUGGUGAGAUUUUGGAUGGAAGUGAAGCACACGUUAUUGGAAACUGGAGGAAAGUCAGUUUUUAGAAAGUGACAACUUGGCAAAAUUGUAUUCCAUCUAGUGUUUUGUGGGAAGUAGAACUUGUGAGUAAUGAAAUUGGAGGUGUGGCUUGGCUCCUCCUGGCUGAUUACAGUAAAAUGCAAGAAGAGAGAAAUAACAAUGGAAUUUUUGAAACAUAUGGAAAAUUCUUAGCUGAAUAGUUAAAUGGUGUUAAAUGCUAUUAAAGCGAGGGCAUUGAUUGGGAAAGAAUGGGAUGCUAUAAGAUGGCAUGGGGACAAGUGGAAGGCUCUGGUGUAGCUAGGACC